UCUUCCUCGGUCCUGAAAAGAAGCCUAUCUGCUGAAGAUUAAGCGUAAUGCGUAACUUCAAUGGAGCAGUUAUUUGAAAGGGGGCCCUUAUGACACCUUGAACCCUGUCUGUAGUGGUGACACUUUUCCAGGGCUGAUGUGUGAGAGGAGGAUGGUUGUGCUGUGCACCACGAAGAAGAUGUCAUGCUGAGGAUGGGCUUCAGCACUGAUGUUGUUGCUGUGAUGUAGUGGCAGCUCGCUCGCUGUGUCUCUGUUGGCCAUGAGGCGUAACCAUAGAGAGUGAUUGACAGCAUGGUCCCCACACAGCAAAGGGGGCCUGAGAACCACAGACUCCUUUCAGAAGCAGUGAGGACUGACCGUCUGCGAGUGAGACACUGUCCUUUCUCCCAUCAUGCCAGUCAAUGACUGUUAUAGGCAUUGUGUUCAAAGACUAGCGGCACAAGUAUGGAAACGCAGAGAAAGCAUUGUAAAAAAAAAAAUAUUAAGAGGAAAAAAAAGUCCAAUGCCUGGAAAUGGUCACAGUCCACCACUUUGCCUGGUGCAUGUUCUUUUGUUUUGAAACUUUUGCUAACUUUUUUUCAGUUGUGGAUGGAUUGGUAGAGCGAGGGUAUCCAUCCACAGACGCAGAUUAUGUUGGCCCGCAAUGUGAAUAACACAUUUUUGUUUUCUUUGAAUGUAAGAUUUUAUUAACAGUAACUUGUCACAGUUUGCUGGAUGUACUCUUUCAGAUAAACGUUCUCUACACGGUUUGUAAGAUAUGGAAUUAUACAACUGCCAUAAAAUCCCACUGAGCACACACUGGUUGAAUCAACGUUGUUUCCACAUCAUUUGAAUGAAAUGACGUUGAACCAA